GAUGAACGCUAGCUACAGGCUUAACACAUGCAAGUCGAGGGGAAACGAUGAGAGAGCUUGCUCUCUUAGUCGUCGACCGGCGCACGGGUGAGUAACGCGUAUCCAACCUGCCUCUGACCAAGGGAUAACCCGUCGAAAGUCGGACUAAUACCUUAUGCAGUCGUCGGAAGUCAUCUGAUGACGACGAAAGAUUUCAUCGGUGAGAGAUGGGGAUGCGUCUGACUAGCUUGUUGGCGGGGUAACGGCCCACCAAGGCGACGAUCAGUAGGGGUUCUGAGAGGAAGGUCCCCCACAUUGGAACUGAGACACAGUCCAAACUCCUACGGGAGGCAGCAGUGAGGAAUAGUGGUCAAUGGGCGUAAGCCUGAACCAGCCAAGUAGCGUGCAGGAUGACGGCCCUAUGGGUUGUAAACUGCUUUUAUGCGGGGAUAAAGUGAGGGACGUGUCCUUCAUUGCAGGUACCGCAUGAAUAAGGACCGGCUAAUUCCGUG
rnacentral:rRNA from 1 species